ACUCUGGAUCUCCUCUCUGCUGAGGGCUGCACACUCAUUGGGAUGACCUGCCUGCACAUAGAAGAGUGUGUACUAGUCUCAGUAAGUCAAUGGGUUUCCCUGGAUCCAGGCUUGGAGAAAAUGUUUUCUCUUCUCUAUCUGCAAUUCUCCUGAACCAAUUCUGACGGAUAAUAUGACUGUGUCAACCACAAAAGAGGAAAAGAAUGGGCUUUAAAUCCCGCCUUUACAGCCAUCCAAGGCAGCUCCUUCUUCAAAGGAUGGAACUUUAAGGAUGGAACCAAUUGGCUACAAAUCAUUUUAGCUGAUGCACUGAGACAAUUCUGAAGCAAACUGUCUUAUCCUGGAUUUUGUCAGUAACUGGAGUUGAAGGACUUGAAGAUUCUCAAGGAUUGAUCCAGAAUAUGUUCCAGCAAAAACUACAGCAGAGUAACUUUGACAAGAAAAAUGUUCACUUGCUACCUAAGGAGAGUCUCUGUCUCCUGACCUCUGAAUUUCGAAAUCCUCAGCUCUGGCUGCCACGCAGUGGGAACCGAAUGAGUAUGUACUGAAUGGCGAAUCCUAGUUCAGUCACUUGACUAGCUGGGUGACCUUGAGC
rnacentral:lncRNA from 1 species